rnacentral:lncRNA from 1 species
UUGGCGUCGCUUCAUCACAGUUACCGACCAAACCGAGGCGUCUCCUCCUAUCACUACUGUUUCCCGUCGUUCGCCAUAUAUUCAUCACUCUAUAUAACCAUCGCCACAACCACAAAAUCCACCGCUCAUGUGAAAUUUUGUUCUCCUUCCACGCCCCGAAUACAUUUUUUGGCUUUCUCCCCUCAAUAAGUCUAUCCCAUUUGUCUUCAUUUUUCUCACUUUCGAAUUCAUUCCACAGAUGAAAACGAAACGAUCACCGUUGGGAAGGCGUUUGGAAUUGGGAACCGUAGAUCUGAGGAAGACGGCGAUAGGCGUGUCAUUGUGAGAGACGGCCAAAACAAUGUGCGGUCGUUGGAGAUUUUACUUUCGUUGAUUGCUUCGUCGUCUCUGACUUCCACUGUAAUUUCAAUCGCUAAAAUGUCUGAUGGGGGAGAACACAAAUGGUGGCGGUUGUUGUUGUUGAUUCAACCUUCUCCCAUACAUUAAACUUAAUUGAAGUUUCCGAAAAAACAAUGUUUUUUAAAUUUUG